GAUGAACGCUAGCGGCAGGCCUAAUACAUGCAAGCCGAACGGCAAGCCUUGUAGCAAUACGAGGCCUAGAGUGGCGCAAGGGUGCGUAACACGUAUGCAAUCUGCCCACAACAGGAGGACAGCUCCCCGAAAGGGGAAUUAACCCUCCAUGGGACCACACGAGGGCAUCCGAGAGUGGUUAAACCAAAAGGGGUUGUGGAUGGGCAUGCGGUUGAUUAGCUGGUUGGUAGGGAACGGCCUACCAAGGCGAUGAUCAAUA
rnacentral:rRNA from 1 species